rnacentral:rRNA from 1 species
CGCCUCUUGCAACCCAUAAGAGGUCCAGCCUGCCCAGUGACUCUGUUCAACGGCCGCGGUAUCCUAACCGUGCAAAGGUAGCGUAAUCACUUGCCCUUUAAAUAAGGUCUGGUAUGAACGGCACCACGAAGGUUUAACUGUCUCCUUUUUCUAAUCAGUGAAACUAAUCUCCCCGUGAAAAAGCAGGGAUGAGCCCAUAAGACGAGAAGACCCUAUGGAGCUUUAAAUAUUAACAACAUUUGCCUCUCAAUCAUAUAAACAGCAUACAUGUUGUUAAUUUUUGGUUGGGGCGACCACGGAGUAAAACUCAACCUCCCUGUUGAAACUCGCUAAAAACCACAAUUUAAGCACCAAUAAACUGUCAUCCAUUGACCCAAUAUUUUGAUCAACGAACCAAGUUACCCUAGGGAUAACAGCGCUAUCCACUUCAAGAGCUCUUAUCGACAAGUGGGUUUACGACCUCGAUGUUGGAUCAGGGUGUCCCAGUGGUGCAGCCACUACUAAAGGUUCGUUUGUUCAACGAUUAAAACCCU